AACGAACGCUGGCGGCAUGCCUAACACAUGCAAGUCGAACGAAGCCUUCGGGCUUAGUGGCGCACGGGUGCGUAACGCGUGGGAAUCUGCCCUUUGGUUCGGAAUAACAGUUGGAAACGACUGCUAAUACCGGAUGAUGACGAAAGUCCAAAGAUUUAUCGCCAGAGGAUGAGCCCGCGUAGGAUUAGCUAGUUGGUGUGGUAAAGGCGCACCAAGGCGACGAUCCUUAGCUGGUCUGAGAGGAUGAUCAGCCACACUGGGACUGAGACACGGCCCAGACUCCUACGGGGGGCAGCAGUGGGGAAUAUUGGACAAUGGGCGAAAGCUUGAUCCAGCAAUGCCGCGUGAGUGAUGAAGGCCCUAGGGUUGUAAAGCUCUUUUACCCGGGAUGAUAAUGACAGUACCGGGAGAAUAAGCCCCGGCUAACUCCGUGCCAGCCGCCGCAGUAA
rnacentral:rRNA from 1 species